rnacentral:rRNA from 1 species
UACAGAGGUCCCAAGCGUUGUUCGGAUUCACUGGGCGUAAAGGGUGCGUAGCGGUCGGGUAAGUUCUGAUGUGAAAUCUCACAGCUUAACUGUGAAACUGCAUUGGAUACGUAUUCGGCUAGAGAGUUGGAGGGGGGACUGGAAUUCGUUGGUGUAGCAGUGAAAUGCGUAGAUAUCAAGAGGAACACCAGUGGCGAAGGCGAGUCCCUGGACAACUCUGACGCUGGAGGCACGAAAGCUAGGGGAGCAAACAGG